CGGGGAAUUUUGGACAAUGGGGGAAACCCUGAUCCAGCCAUCCCGCGUGUGCGAUGAAGGCCUCCGGGUUGUAAAGCACUUUUUGCAGGAAAGAAACGUCAUGGGUUAAUACCCCGUGAAACUGACGGUACCUGCAGAAUAAGCACCGGCUAACUACGUGCCAGCAGCCGCGGUAAUACGUAGGGUGCAAGCGUUAAUCGGAAUUACUGGGCGUAAAGCGUGCGCAGGCGGUUCGGGAAGAAAGAGGUGAAAUCCCAGAGCUCAACUUUGGAGCUGCAUAUUUAACUGCCGGGCUAGAGUGUGUCGGAGGGAGGUUGGAUUCCGCGUGUAGCAGUGAAAUGCGUAGUUAUGCGGAGGAACGCCGAUGGCGAAGGCAGCCUCCUGGGAUAACACUGACGCUCAUGCACGAAAGCGUGGGGAGCAAGCAG
rnacentral:rRNA from 1 species